UAUGAUCAAAUGAUGAAUUAUUUCGGAUGUAAACACAGACCUGUUCUGAAUUGCGCAAAACCGUGUGGAUAUUUCCGUUGCCUUCCUUCUGAAUAGAUCAU
rnacentral:snoRNA from 1 species